GGAGCAAUCUAGUUUAGCGGUAACAACUGAUUUACGCGCACAUUACCUCUUGUGUCUGAGAUAAGCUAAAAUACGCGCGGUGAACACGGAAUAAAACAAUUGCACGAACAAAACACUUGCACAACGAGUCUGAAACAAUACAGUAUUAGACGCAUUAUGGGACUGACUUCUUCUACUUGGGUUCCGUUUGGCCACUGGCGACACGACGUGGAUUACAUAUAUGGAUGGCUGAAAUGGAAGAUCUGGAGAGAAAUUUACAUGGGUCCGAUGCAUCUGCUUGUGAUUAUGUUCAACUUAUACUUUCUUCUCACAGUUAGAUACAACAAAGAUCUACAUAAUCACGAUUAUGUUUUAAUAUCACUGCAAUGUUUUCUGGAUCUUCUACUCACUGGCUUCAUUGGUCUCAUUCACUAUUUCUUGGAACUGUGGACCGCAACUGUUGGUUUUUGUGAACUCGGUGGGUUUCUGCGACACUCCAGCAGAUAUUCCUACUAUAGUGAGGAACUUAAGUCCUACCCUAAAUGGUCAGUGGUGUGUCGUUCUGGACUUGUAACUGGGAAUGUGAUAUCAAAGCA